rfam:Ornithorhynchus anatinus chromosome 4, whole genome shotgun sequence.
AGCAGCGUGGCUCAGUGGAAAGAGCAUGGGCUUGGGAGUCAGAGGUCAUGGGUUCGAAUCCCGGCUCUGCCA